GUGUCAGCCGCCGCGGUAAUACGUAGGUGGCAAGCGUUGUCCGGAUUUACUGGGCGUAAAGGGAGCGUAGGUGGAUAUUUAAGUGGGAUGUGAAAUACUCGGGCUUAACCUGGGUGCUGCAUUCCAAACUGGAUAUCUAGAGUGCAGGAGAGGAAAGUAGAAUUCCUAGUGUAGCGGUGAAAUGCGUAGAGAUUAGGAAGAAUACCAGUGGCGAAGGCGACUUUCUGGACUGUAACUGACACUGAGGCUCGAA
rnacentral:rRNA from 1 species